GACGAACGCUGGCGGCAGGCUUAACACAUGCAAGUCGAACGGUAACAGAAAGAAGCUUGCUUCUUUGCUGACGAGUGGCGGACGGGUGAGUAAUGCCUAGGAAUCUGCCUAGUAGUGGGGGAUAACUUGCCGAAAGGUAAGCUAAUACCGCAUACGUCCUACGGGAGAAAGCAGGGGAGCCCUCGGGUCCUUGCGCUAUUAGAUGAGCCUGGGUCGGAUUAGCUUGUUGGUGAGGUAAUGGCUCACCAAGGCGACGAUCCGUAGCUGGUCUGAGAGGAUGAUCAGCCACACUGGGACUGAGACACGGCCCAGACUCCUACGGGAGGCAGCAGUGGGGAAUAUUGGACAAUGGGGGAAACCCUGAUCCAGCCAUGCCGCGUGUGUGAAGAAGGUCUUCGGAUUGUAAAGCACUUUAAGUUGGGAGGAAGGGCUUACGGUUAAUACCCGUUAAGUUUUGACGUUACCAACAGAAUAAGCACCGGCUAACUUCGUGCCAGCAGCCGCGGUAAUACGAAGGGUGCGAGCGUUAAUCGGAAUUACUGGGCGUAAAGCGCGCGUAGGUGGUUCGUCAAGUUGGAAGUGAAAGCCCUGGGCUUAACCUA
rnacentral:rRNA from 1 species